rnacentral:lncRNA from 1 species
UUCUAUAAAUUCGAAUUUUAUUAGUAGUUCUUUGAAGUACAUGAAAAUUGACAAGAGAACUUAAGUUGCUUCCUGUAAUUAUAAAGUGAAUGAGUGGUAAAGGGACUAAGCCCAAUUGUGCAUGCCCGUAAGCUUUCCAUAGUACUCCAUCAAUGUCUUAUAGACAGCUCUGUGUGAUGGACCGGCAAUGCCCUACCGGAGUGUGAGAAAGCAGCCAAGAGGGCAGCUGAUUUCCCUUGCACACAAGGACAGGAAUGGGCUGGCCACGCGCGCCUGAACCUGCAGUGGGUUUCUGAUGGAUUAGUGACUGGUGAGA